GCGCUCAUGGUGUAGUCGUUAUCAUACCUUCUUUGGGUGUUAUUAUAAUGGCACUGGAGGUGGUCCUGGGUUCAAAUCCCAGUGGGCGCC